AACACAUUGAAGAGAUACGUAGAAAAAAGUUCUCCAUUGGAGGGGAACAGAACCCAUUAACUGAGGAUCUUCAUCAAGCUGUCAAGAACCUCUCUGCUGAGCUUUAUGCCAAGGAUGUACAUUUUCUAAUGGAGCUCAUUCAGAAUGCUGAAGAUAAUGCUUACUUGGAGGGGGUGGAUCCAUCUCUUGAGUUUGUCAUAACUUCUGAAGACAUUACAGCCACAGAGUUUGUCAUAACUUCUGAGGACAUUACACACAUGACACAUCACUCUUCACUAUUUCACUCACUAUUUAUUUCCUAACACUUAUUUGCUAUCUCACUACACUUAGCUAUAUCACUUCUUGGAUACAAUACCUCUGUUGGUUAUAUUGAUACAAAGCAUUAAAUACUUCCACUUAAAAGCAAAGUAGAAAGUUAUAUUACCUAGAUAUUACAGGAUCCAGAUCCUCUCCAUUUCCUUUGAAAUGGAGAGGCCUCCAGUACACGGUCAGGAUUUCCCAUGGAGAGCAUCAAUGGUCAAAAAAGUGCCACGUCAUUUAAAACCCAAACCACACACUUAACUGUACACUUAACUGGGGUUAGACACUUAACCCAUCUGAAUAUUUCAAACUUAACCCAUCUGAGACCAAACACAUCUCAAUAUUUCAAACUCUCUUCUCAAUAUUUCAAACCCACUUCUCUCUCGCCUCCCCGUCACGGUGCGAAACACAAACAAAAGAAACCCACUUCUUUCUCGCCUCGCCGUCACGGUGAGGAUAUCUACGAUUCGAUCAAGCUUUUAACUCAGCUCCUUGCUCACCACACAGGCAGGUUAAUAAGUUACGGAUUGAGGGAGAUGGUUCUUUAGAUGAUGUGCCUGAAAUGCACCAUGUUGAAGGGGCAUUUGUAGAAACAGUAUUACCAAAGGUAAAAUCUCCUCCUCAAGAUAUAUUACUAAAGCUGGAGAGGGAGCCAAUCUUUAUAAAGAUUCAAUCUUUAUCUCAAAAAAUUAAAAAUAAAAAUUCAGAUAGACUCUAACUUGCAUCCAGCCACCAAAACAACAAUAUAAACUCACCAAGACAACAAUAUAAAUGCAGAAAAACCUCUGUUUUGGCAAGAUAGAAACAGAGAUGCUCUGAAGCUGAACUUGGAACCUUCUGUGAAGCUUUUUUUUUUUGGUUAAAAUCUGUGAAGCCACAAACUCAGCAACCUCUGUCUCACUUUUCCCUCCUAAAAGGUCUUUUUUGUUUUCCGAAGAACUUGCAUGGAUAACCUUUGUUUCAGUUUUCCCUCCUAAAAGGGUUUUUUUUUUUUUUUUUUUUCAGUACAAUUUGUCCGGUUGGGUAAACAUGGGUUUGGUCUCAGAUGGGUUAAGUUUGAAAUAUUCAGAUGGGUUAAGUGUCUAACCCCAAUACAUGAUCCUAGACUUUUUAUAGUGAUAUUUUGGCCUAAAGGAAAUCUACGGUAGAAUUUGUUGGGGGAUUUUGAGAAGUUGGGGAUGAAGAUGCAUAGAAGCCUAUGUCCAUUGUGUUGCCAGAGUUGGGGGAUUUUUGGAUUUAUGUCUCUGUUCCUCAUAUCCCAAGCUUCAACUUUACAUAAUGUAGACUAUAAAUAUGAAAAAUGCCAACAGGAAAAGUCUUCUGGAGUUCUCGAUAAUUCUCUCAUCAAGAAAAUUAAGGAUAACAGUAAACCAGAGAUUUCUGGGUUUACAAUUAGUCCAGACAUCUCCCUUACCGCUGACGCACCCCAGGUGGGGGGAAAUGUAAUCCUUACAUUAUGAUUUCUCUUUUCUUCUCUUUUCUCUUUCCAAAAUCUCUGUGUUACUCUGUGUCUCAACUAUCAAAAAGAUUGCGCAAGGCCUAGGAGGGAAAAGAAGAGAAACAACUUUGAGAGUUGGAGAUGAGAGAAAAUCCUCGGAGAUGAGAGUUUGAACUUUGAAAUUUUAGAUGGGUUGGCGAGAGAAAAGAAUAGGCUGAUCUAACCUUGGGUUAAGUUCACGUGGUUUGGGUUAAGUUUAUGUGGGUUAAGUUCAUGUGGUUUGGGUUAAGUUUAUGACAUGUCCAGUUUUUGAGCGUGGAUCAUUUUCAGCAAAAUCCUGACCGUGUACUGGAGGCCUCUCCAUUUCAAAGGAAAUGGAGAGGAUCCGGAUCCGAUAUUACAAAGGAGACAAGAAAACAAAGCAUUUAAUGCUUCCACCCAAAACCAAAGGAGAAAGUCAUAUUAUCACCUAAGCAUGAAAAACAUGCAGAAGUAAAUCACACAUGUAUGAAAGUUAUCACCGGCUAAUGCUGUAGAGUUGGUGAUGACUCUACACGCAACCCCAGCCUCCAAGCUUGGCUUCUCUUUUUUCCUGUAAAGGAAUCGGCAAACCACGUAGGCCUAGACCAUGACGCCUUCUUCUUUUUCUUGUCCAACAAGAAAAGGCGUUUAGUAGGAUCAGAUAAAGCAUUGAACCAAUAGAAAUUAGAGUAAUCCAAAAAUUUGUAUAGCCGGUUAUGGCCGCAAAGGACACAAUAUAGCAAGCCCAGAGGAAGACUUGAGUUCCGGAUAACAUCCAACCAAUGUACCCGUCUGGAAUGAGGAGAAUAGUUACUGAGUUUGAGAUAAGAAAUGUCACAGAAUUAGAAAAUAAGAACACCGAAAAGGGGAUUGUGUUAACAAGAUUGGCUGUCCCUUGACCUUCUGUCCCUUUGAAUAGAAUUUUUUUUCCACAAGUUCGAUGAUAUGAUGAUGCAUUAGCCGGACAAGGCCUAGUACUAAUCCGUGAAAAAUUAGCGCCUGGUUUCGAAAUGCCUUCGUGAAGUCCUCCAGGAGGGUUGAGUGCCGCUUGAUAGGUGACUGAUAAAAGCAGUGUAGCAACCACCAGAAGCGCAUUGCGCUUAUCGUCUGAUAUUGUCGUUAUUUGACGAGCACACUUGGUUCGAAUUUUUUCAAGACGUCUGCAUGUAGUAAUAGAUGAACCCUUUGAAGCUCCGACACGGAUUAGCAUCUUCCUCAUCUCGCUGCUGCCUGUUUGUGGUUGCAAGAUUUCCCAUGCUGUUUUAUUCUCUUUAUUCUUAAUUUUUACAUCAACCUCACUACUCCAAGCGAACAAGUGCCUCACAGCCUGCAUGCAUAUACACUGUCACUAAUCAGGAUUCCACUGCGUCUAUUUUCUUAAUCCAAAUGCGUAAACUUUUAGUGUUUUUUCUAUUAAAAAAAAAACUUUAUACAUAACAAAUUCGAAAGUGGAAAAUUUAUGAGUUUACAUGAAGAAUAAUAAUAAUAUUACAUUGUAUACAUGCAAAAGUGUUAGUGGUAUAUAUAAACAUGUGUCGUGUAAAAAACAAUAAUUUAAUUACUCUAUUUGGUUUUAUUUAUUUAUUUAUAUUUAAUUUAUCAAAUGAACAUGACAUUUUAGUUGUUUGCUAGUUUGUAUCCAAACUUCGGACAAUGAAUGAUGUCGUAUUAUGCGUCUGACUCUAUAUAAAUAAUUCUUACGUGUGUCCCUUACCUGGCAACACUAAGCUUUUUAGUUAGAAGAAUACUUACGCAUAAACAGGGACGGAACCAGAAAUUUUUGUUUGGGGGGCCAAUUUGUAUUACUAAUUUAUUAGUCUAUACAAACUUUUAUACACAUACACAAACACAUGUAUCUAUACACACACAAAAAAUUAGUAUCUUUCAUAAUGAAUUCUUAAACUAAAUGUUUCAUAGAAUUAAAUUAAUGUUUCACCAUCUUCCAUAGUGAAAUCCUUACAAUUUUCAUUUUCAAUAUAAGUUACCAAAUUGUCUACCGUUGUGAGUAAAAAAAUUUCAAUUAAAUUAAUGAAGUGUUCAAAGACAUAAAUGAUCCAAAACUUUAAAAAAUACGAGAAUACAUUUUACCAUAAAAAAUGAAUUUGAGAAACAAUACAUUCUCUAUAACUACUAGACAAAUUGGACAAUUUUUUUAAGAACAUUAUUGGACCAACUCAAAUAGUUGGGGGGGCCAAGUCCCAUUUUUUAGGGCUAAUUAUUAAAAUAUUAAAUAUUUUUAUAUAGUAAAAAAAAAAUUCAAAAAUUUUGGAUUUUUUUGAUUUUCUUGUAUUAGCUACCUUAACAUGUAGCUCCGCCCCUGCGCAUAAAGAGAUUAUAAAUAUGUUAUUUUAUUUAUUUGUCGAUCAUGGAAAAACCAACUUCAAAUUUUGAGUUUUCCAACAAUUAAUAAUUUAAUACUGUUAAAACGAGGUUCAUCAUAAAAUGAAAGAUGAUUUUUUUCACUAAUUUUUGAUUUUGUAUAUUAAAAGAGAAAUUGUUAAAAGAAAAUUAAUACAUUAUCAUUACAUCGAGUUUCAAUUUAAGAAGAGUUUGAGUUGAAAUUUAUUAAGAAAAAAAUUAUUAUUGGAUUUUUUUUCUUUUAUUCAUAUUGUGCUAAUACAAGGUUGAUGUUAGUUUGGAUUUUCAUAAUUGAGUACAGGAGAGAGCUUACCUCGGUUUGUUCUUUGGAUACUGCAAUGUGCAACACGGUGUUGCCUUCCUUGUCCUUCCAGUUCAAGAUUUUCCUCUCAUAAUCCAAGGCAUUUUGGGACCAAUUGCUGGCGAGCCAUCCCACCAAGGCUUUAAAAGACUCGAUAUUGUCAUUUUUAAGGGCAAUAUGUAGAGCAGUCUCAUUUUGUGUUGUCACAUCGGCAAUAGAAUCUGGAUAGAUUGAUAUAAAUUCAGUCAAUAGAUCAAGUUGAUCAUUUCUUUUUGCCACAUGAUGCAAAGGAGUCAUGUUCUCCCUGCCUCUGACACGGACAAGGUCUUGAUCAACAUGUAGAAGCUGAUGCACCAUCUCGAAAUGCCCCUUUUGUAGAGCAAGGUCAAUGGGGCUAAACCCAUAUCGAUUUGGUUUUCUAGCAAAUGAGGGCUUUAAUCUCAUUAUCUCCAUAGCAACGGGGAUGUUCCCUGCAAUUGCAACUGUGUGUAAAGGAGUAUCGACCAAUGGAAACUCAUCGAAGUACUCUAAAUAUUUCACAUCCUCCUGAAUUAAGUUGUAAAAGUCAUCAAUAUUUCCUUUUUCAGCAACUUG